AAUGCUCACCAUAAAGUAAAGAAGACUUGUGCAGUCAAUGUACCAUAUAUCAUAAUCGCAUAUUAGCUCAUCACAAAGUAAAGAAAUGUGCAUUCAAUGUACCAUAUAUCACAAUCGCAUAUUAGCUCAAUUAUAUCGACGACUUGAAGACAAAGCCAUCUAUUUCUUAGGGCAAAGGGCACUCCAUCCUCGUAACUCCUCCCACUCGAUCCAUAAGGUAGUCCAAGUCAUCAAGAUGUUGCCACACGAAGAGUAAAUAUAUGAGGUCGGGAUCCCCGGUCCAUUGAAAUGGUCACGACAUCAGUGGCGGAGUUACAAUUUUCAUUGAGGGGGUCCAGAAGUAAACAUACGAAUUAGCUGGAAGAUGUUCAACAUCUACUAUAUAUACAUAAAAAAUAUUUUUAACCACGUAACAAUGGUAUAAUUUCCGUCAAAGGGUGGAUAAAAGGUGGCUCCGCCCCUGCACGACACCCAUAUUAAACAAGGAGAAACAAUAGUAGCAAUAGCAGCAACAAGCAAUCUGAGAAUAACAAAGAAUUACACUGAAAACUGGCUAUUCUUCGCGGCUCAAAAUAUUGCAGCUACAAUCACGAUCUCCAUCAUUCAAAUUACGAAUAGGAUGUAAGAAACUCCACGUAAAAAAAUUCAGCUCGAUCCAAAAAUGAUGAAUUGAAAAUGCAGAGAAAAAAAAGGAAAUUUUCUUAUAUGAUCUUCUCCCUCUAAUCAAAACUGGCUGCCUUGUCUCUCUUCUUGUAUCACAUACAAGACCAAACCAAGAAUUAGAUCUUUUUCAAACAUUAAUAUGAACCAUAAAAAGAUUUUGAUCCAAAUACCUUUUUGCAUUCACAUGGGGAGAGAAAAACAAAGAGAUAAUGGUAUUAAAAAAACACCUAAGCUAUCACUUUUUGUGAGUUUCACACGUCACACACCUCAACUAUCA
rnacentral:lncRNA from 1 species